rnacentral:rRNA from 1 species
GAAUGCAGAAUUCAGUGGAAUCAUCGAAUCUUUGAACGCACCUUGGCGCCCCCUGGUAUUCCGGGGGAGCACACCUGUUCGAGUGUCUUG